CCCCUAGAUGUUCUGGGCCGCACGCGCGCUACACUGAACAGUUCAACAAGUCUUAACCUUGGCCGAUAGGUCUGGGUAAUCUUUGAACGCUGUUCGUGAUUGGGAUAGACCUUUGCAAUUAUGGGUCUUCAACGAGGAAUUCCUAGUAAACGCAAGUCAUCAGCUUGCAUUGAUUACGUCCCUGCCCUUUGUACACACCGCCCGUCGCACCUACCGAUUGAAUGGUCCGGUAAAAUCUCGGGACGGCGGCUUGGUCGCUUGCGUCCGACUGCUGAAACUUGAUUAAACCAUAUCAUUUAGAGGAAGGUGAAGUCGUAACA
rnacentral:rRNA from 1 species